rnacentral:rRNA from 1 species
GUAGGUGGCAAGCGUUGUCCGGAAUUAUUGGGGCGUAAAGCGCGCGCAGGCGGUUCGUUUAAGUCUGAUGUGAAAGCCCACGGCUCAACCGUGGAGGGUCAUUGGAAACUGGAGAACUUGAGUACAGAAGAGGAAAGCGGAAUUCCACGUGUAGCGGUGAAAUGCGUAGAGAUGUGGAGGGACACCAGUGGCGAAGGCGGCUUUCUGGUCUGUAACUGACGCUGAGGCGCGAAAGCGUGGGGAGCAAACAGGAUUAGAUACCCUGGUAGUCCACGCCGUAAACGAUGAGUGCUAAGUGUUAGGGGGUUUCCGCCCCUUAGUGCUGCAGCUAACGCAUUAAGCACUCCGCCUGGGGAGUACGGCCGCAAAGGCUG